rnacentral:sRNA from 1 species
GGCAAAGUAUUUCUACAGGAAGAUUCAUGUUAAUCAGUGACACCUAAUUUCAGCAUAGGUGGCUUGGAGAGCCAUUUUCCUUUUCCCACAUAAUCUCUUCUCUUCCCUUGCCAGGGUUCGUGUGAGCCAGGAUGGGCAGUUUCUGCACUACAUCUUUCCAUACCAGUUCAUGGACUCUCCUGAGUGGGAAUCACUACAGCCUUCUGAGGAGGGGGUGUUCCAGGUCACUCUGACUGCUGAGACCUCAUGUAGCUACAUAUCCUGGCCCCGGAAAAGCCUCCAUCUUCUUCUGACCAAAGAGCGAUACAUCUCCUGCCUCUUCUCGGCUCUGCUGGGUUAUGACAUCUCGGAGAAGCUCUACACUCUCAAUGAAAAGCUCUUUGCUAAGUUUGGGCUGCGCUUUGACAUCCGCCUUCCCAGCCUUUACCAUGUCCUGGGUCCCACUGCUGCAGAUGCUGGACCAGAGUCCGAGAAGGGUGAUGAGGAAGUCUG